GAUGAACGCUAGCUACAGGCUUAACACAUGCAAGUCGAGGGGCAGCAUGAUUGAAGCUUGCUUCAACUGAUGGCGACCGGCGCACGGGUGAGUAACACGUAUCCAACCUGCCGAUAACUCGGGGAUAGCCUUUCGAAAGAAAGAUUAAUACCCGAUAGUAUAGUAUUUCCGCAUGGUUUCACUAUUAAAGAAUUUCGGUUAUCGAUGGGGAUGCGUUCCAUUAGAUAGUUGGCGGGGUAACGGCCACCAAGUCAACGAUGGAUAGGGGUUCUGAGAGGAAGGUCCCCCACAUUGGAACUGAGACACGGUCCAAACUCCUACGGGAGGCAGCAGUGAGGAAUAUUGGUCAAUGGACGAGAGUCUGAACCAGCCAAGUAGCGUGAAGGAUGACUGCCCUAUGGGUUGUAAACUUCUUUUAUACUGGAAUAAAGUGGAGUAUGCAUACUCCUUUGUAUGUACCGUAUGAAUAAGGAUCGGCUAACUCCGUGCCAGCAGCCGCGGUAAUACGGAGGAUCCGAGCGUUAUCCGGAUUUAUUGGGUUUAAAGGGAGCGUAGGCGGGUGCUUAAGUCAGUUGUGAAAGUUUGCGGCUCAACCGUAAAAUUGCAGUUGAUACUGGGCGCCUUGAGUGCAGCAUAGGUAGGCGGAAUUCGUGGUGUAGCGGUGAAAUGCUUAGAUAUCACGAAGAACUCCGAUUGCGAAGGCAGCUUACUGGACUGUAACUGACGCUGAUGCUC
rnacentral:rRNA from 1 species